GCAUGCGUGACAUUAGCUUGUUGGCGGGGUAACGGCCCACCAAGGCGACGAUGUCUAGGGGUUCUGAGAGGAAGGUCCCCCACACUGGUACUGAGACACGGACCAGACUCCUACGGGAGGCAGCAGUGAGGAAUAUUGGUCAAUGGGCGAGAGCCUGAACCAGCCAAGUCGCGUGAAGGAUGACGGCCCUACGGGUUGUAAACUUCUUUUGUCAGGGAGCAAUUGGGUCCACGCGUGGGCUUAGCGAGAGUACCUGAAGAAAAAGCAUCGGCUAACUCCGUGCCAGCAGCCGCGGUAAUACGGAGGAUGCGAGCGUUAUCCGGAUUUAUUGGGUUUAAAGGGUGCGUAGGCGGAAUAUCAAGUCAGCGGUAAAAAUUCGGGGCUCAACCCCGUCGUGCCGUUGAAACUGAUGUUCUUGAGUGGGCGAGAAGUAUGCGGAAUGCGUGGUGUAGCGGUGAAAUGCAUAGAUAUCACGCAGAACUCCGAUUGCGAAGGCAGCAUACCGGCGCCCAACUGACGCUGAAGCACGAAAGCGUGGGUAUCGAACAGGAUUAGAUACCCUGGUAGUCCACGCAGUAAACGAUGAAUGCUAAUUGUCCGGAGGGAUUGACCUCUGGGUGAU
rnacentral:rRNA from 1 species